GGUCAGGAUGAACGCUAGCGAUAGGCUUAACACAUGCAAGUCGAGGGGCAGCACGGUGUAGCAAUACACUGGUGGCGACCGGCGUACGGGUGCGUAACACGUAUGCAACCUACCCGCUAGUUGGGGGAUAACCCGGCGAAAGUCGGACUAAUAUCCCAUAUUAUUCUUACCGGGCAUCCGGUGAGUCUGAAAGAUUUAUCGAUUGCGGAUGGGCAUGCGGAUGAUUAGCUAGUAGGUGGGGUAACGGCUCACCUAGGCGACGAUCAUUAGGGGUUCUGAGAGGAAGGUCCCCCACACUGGAACUGAGACACGGUCCAGACUCCUACGGGAGGCAGCAGUGAGGAAUAUUGGUCAAUGGGCGCUAGCCUGAACCAGCCAAGUCGCGUGAAGGAUGACAGAUCUAUGGUUUGUAAACUUCUUUUGCAGGGGAGUAAAGUGCGACACGUGUGUUGUAUUGCAAGUACCCUGCGAAUA
rnacentral:rRNA from 1 species